UACGUAGUGUGCGAGCGUUAAUCGGAAUUACUGGGCGUAAAGCGUGCGCAGGCGGUUUUGUAAGCCAGAUGUGAAAUCCCCGGGCUUAACCUGGGAAUGGCAUUUGGGACUGCAAGGCUGGAGUGUGGCAGAGGAGACUGGAAUUCCUGGUGUAGCAGUGAAAUGCGUAGAUAUCAGGAGGAAUACCGAUGGCGAAGGCAGGUCUCUGGGCUGACACUGACGCUCAUGCACGAAAGCGUGGGGAGCAAACAGG
rnacentral:rRNA from 1 species